rnacentral:rRNA from 1 species
GAUGAACGCUGGCGGCGUGCCUAAUACAUGCAAGUCGAGCGAACAGACGACGAGCUUGCUCCUUUCACGUUGCCGGCGGGCGGGUGAGUAACAGGUGGAUACCCUAUCUUUAAGAAUGAGCUAACUUCGGGAAACCGGAGCUCAUACCGGCUCAUCUAUUGAACCGUAUGGCUCAAUAGGGUAAGACGGUUUUUGUUUCACUUAUAGAUGAGUUCAGGCCUCAUUAGCUAGUUGGUAAGGUAACGGCUUGCGAAGGCGACGAGGCGUAGCCGACCUGAGAGGGUGAUCGACCAGACUGGAACUGAGGCACGGUACACACUCCUACGGGAGGCAGCAGUAGGGAAUCUUCCGCAAUGGAGGAGAGGCUGACAGAGCAACGCGGCGUGAGUGAUGAAGGUCUUAGGAUCGUAAAACUCUGUUAGUAGGGAAGAACAAAUGUGUAAGUAACUAUGCACGUCUUGACGGUACCUAAUCAGAAAGCCACGGCUAACUACGUG